GACGAACGCUGGCGGCAUGCCUAACACAUGCAAGUCGAACGAGAACUUCCGGUCUAGUGGCGCACGUGUGCGUACCGCCUGGUAAGCUGCACUUAAGUUCGGAGUAACUCCCCGUAGGGGGUGCUCAUACCGCAUAAUGUAUUCGGACCAAAGAUGUUUGGCCUUUGGAUGGGCCCGGGUUGGUUUAGCUGGUUGGUAGUGGAAAAGCCUACCAAGGCGAGGAUCCAGAGCUGGUCGGAGAGGAUGACAAGCCACACUGGGACUGAGACACGGCCCAGACUCGGACGGAAGGGAGGAGAGGGGAAUAUAGGACGCGGGGCGAAAGCCUGACCAAGCAAUGCCGCGUGAGUGAUGAAGGCCUUAGGGUUGUAAAGCUCUUUUACCCGGGAUGAUAAUGACAGUAACGGGAGAAGAAGCACCGGCUAACUCCGUG
rnacentral:rRNA from 1 species